UUUAUAAAAUAUCUGGGGAACGACUCUCACUCAGUAUCUGGAGAACACAAAAUUAUAUCAGAGACUCUUCAAUUGAGCGAGAGAGCGAGAGAGCGACGAGAGAGAGAGAGAGAGAGAGCGCGACGAGAGAGAGAGAGAGUUCGAUUCUUCUAGUGGUGGCGACAUGAUGAAGAACAAGUCAAGAAGAAGAGGAGUUGUGUGUUAGGUUUCGUGUUCCCAACCAGGCGGACGAUGAUUUACUCAGAUUUAUCUGUUUGGAGGAUGAAGAUUCAGAACACCAAAAACGGGGUCGGUCCGGCGUGCUCUUACAGUAAAAACAACAUCAAAACUGUUCGAUUCAAAAAAAGGGUAACGAUGAUUGUUAAAAACGUAAAGCUACAGGUUUUGAUGUAUGUCCGAGUCUCAUUCAGCAAAAAUCAUAGCCAUCGCAAGGCCACGAGAGAGAGAGCCAAAACAAGUCAGCGCUUCUCUAGAUGAUGGAGAUAUAUUUAUGGUGGUUCACUUCCUCCUUCCCAUUACUGUUUAGGAUGAUGCUGAUAUUAUGGACCAAAACGAUGGCAAAGAUGUCCUCUUCUUAUUGCUCUCUGUGCUUCUGAAGUGUGAGGGAUUAUGACCUAAACCAUGGAGUACUCCUCUUCUUACUCUCUGUGCUACCGAAGUUGGAACUCGAGAAGGCACCAGAAUUCAAAGCAGCACCCUUUGAACAAAAAGUUACUUGUCAUUGCCUCAUCCCAACAAUUCCCUUCCACAGGUGUGUGUGUCCGUGUUCCAACCAGGAUGAUGAUUUUGUUUUUAACAACAAGUGCUCCUGAACUGUUAGGGAUUAUGACCAUGGAAUACCCCUCUUAUUGCUCUAUAAUUGGAACUCGACAAGGCACCAGAAUUCAAAGCAGCACCAUUUGAACAAAACGGCACUUGUCAUUGCCUCAUGCCAACAAUUCCCUUUCAUAGGUGUGUGUGUUUGUAUUUUUUGGCUGAAACAGGAUGAUGACCAUGGAACACCUCUCUUCUUGCUCUGUGCUAUUGAAGUGGAACUCGACAAGUCCCCAGAAUUCAAAGCACCAUCCUUUGAACAAAAAGGUACUUGUCAUGGCCUCAUGGCCCUCAUCCCAACAAUUCCCUUCCACAGGUGUGUGUUCGUGUGUUCCAGCCAGAUUAUGUGGAGGAAGACGUAGAUUCAGACCAAAAAUGGUCGCUGGUGGUCGUUCUUACAGUGACAACAUCAAACUGAUUUUUAAAGGCGUGUGCGUGUGCAUGUUCUAACUUUCAUUUGAAUUUUCGCCUUUACUCAG